rnacentral:rRNA from 1 species
GUGGGGAAUAUUGGACAAUGGGCGAAAGCCUGAUCCAGCCAUGCCGCGUGUGUGAAGAAGGUCUUCGGAUUGUAAAGCACUUUAAGUUGGGAGGAAGGGCAGUAAGUUAAUACCUUGCUGUUUUGACGUUACCGACAGAAUAAGCACCGGCUAACUUCGUGCCAGCAGCCGCGGUAAUACGAAGGGUGCAAGCGUUAAUCGGAAUUACUGGGCGUAAAGCGCGCGUAGGUGGUUUUGUAAGUUGGAGGUGAAAUCCCCGGGCUCAACCUGGGAACUGCAUCCAAAACUGGAUGACUAGAGUACGGUAGAGGGUAGUGGAAUUUCCUGUGUAGCGGUGAAAUGCGUAGAUAUAGGAAGGAACACCAGUGGCGAAGGCGACUACCUGGACUGAUACUGACACUGAGGUGCGAAAGCGUGGGGAGCAAACAGGAUUAGAUACCCUAGUAGUCC